rnacentral:lncRNA from 1 species
CCUCAUUCCUUUGACAUGGGACUGCUGGGCUUUUCUGACACUUUGCCCAUGGAUCUCUAUUACCUUUACUCCAUUAUAUGCCUCAGCAAAAACGCAGACUGAGUUCAUUUUCUUACUCCGAUUGGCUUAAUGUUUUCAACCAAGUCUGUAAUAUGUACAUUGAUCAGACUUGUACUUCACCAACAAUAUUUAGGACGACCUUUAGCUAAAAAACUAAAAGGGGUUGUAGCUCGAAUAAUGCUACGAUGCUGGUAAUGGUUGUAUGAGUAUCCAAGUGAGAUUGCAACUUGCUAGACCUCUGCACAAUAUCAAGCUUAUAAUUCAACUUGUAAUGCUCAGAAUUCCACUGCAGGAACAAUCCAUUGAUUGCCGGUCACUCAUUGGGAAAGCCUAAUCACCACAUAAGUUCAACAUUCAAGCUGAUUCAUUGAAUAUUGCUUCAGUAUAACCCAAAAACAGAGCAGACUUAUAUGGGUACAAAAGAAACUAUUAUUUAUAAACCGAUACCAACACAACGUAAGAUCCCGAAGACCACCUUAACUCUAUAAGAAGAAGACUGCUUACAAGGAACAAGAACUGAAUUGUCCUAAACCUAAAUGGAGUUCAACCGACAACCAAAAUACCAAAUAACAUCGUGAAAUGCUAAAACUAGAACAACAAACCAAAUUUGAGAUACAUUUGCAAACUUGAAUUCUGCAACAAGUAGUGUAGUGUAACCCACGAUUGUUCCAACAUGCUUAUGCUAGCUAGACGGCUCAUCCCUCUCCUAUAAUCUAGCAGGGAGGGAUUCGGGUUCAACUUUAUCAGCAAAAGAAGACAGAGAUAUCAUGUACAAGAGAUAACAUACAUCAGCAGAUGAAGAAGAGCAAAGGGAAAUUCCAGCUCAGACAGGAGGAAUGUUGGAAAAGGAGAAUCCUUUGCAUCCUUUGUAUGCAUAAUAAGCAAGCCUGGUGUAAUAAGAUCCCGGUAUGAAGAGAACCACUCCCAAUACCACGAAGAACAGCCCUGAUCUAUCACCCAUCCAUCAUUAUUAUUAUUACUAUUCAAAGUUACCAAAUUAGGAAAGCCCUAAACCCAAACCCUAACUAAAUCUCCAAUCUAAAAGAACAAAGACAAGGAAAGGAAGGAUUGAUUUACCGUGGGCUCUAUCGCCGCCGACUCGGUUGGAGGUCAUAUAAAAUCCGAGGACGAUUCCGAUGACGCCGUAGAUGGCGCCGCCACGCAAUCUCUUUUUUAUUUCAUUUUUUACUAACUAGUAAUUGUUAAUUGUUUGCAUUUAGACUUGGCAGGUCGAAGCCCAACGUACGGAUACCCGCCUCAAGCCCGCCUGCGAUGGAUGGGUUUUAUCCGUUCAAACAAACCCGUUGACGGGUGAUGCGUAACCGAAAAUCCGUAGCUACUAGGUAGAGGGUCGGGUUGAGUAGUAUUUGUUCCGAUAUUUGUCUGAUGGAUUAUUAAUUUGUUUGUAGAACGAUGGAUAAUCUGACGAGUGAAUCUUAUUUCAUUUACUAAUUUAUAGAACACAACUACUCAGAGAGUCAGAGUAAGGAUUUUGGACUCUUACAGAGCGUAUGGAUAAGAUACUUGAAUGAAGUAUUUUAGAUUAAAUUUUGAGUUAUUUUUCCAUUUUUAUAUUAUUUAAAAGUAUUAAUUCAAAAUAUACAAUAAAAUAUAACAUAUAAAAAUUAAAAAAUUAAUACAAUAAUAUAACUCGAAA